rnacentral:rRNA from 1 species
UCACACCCGUUCCCAUACCGAACACGGAAGUUAAGCUCUUCAGCGCCAAUGGUAGUUGGGGGCUGUCCCCCUGUGAGAGUAGGACGUUGCCAGGC